rnacentral:tRNA from 1 species
GCCGCGUGCUGGCGAAAGCCCGCUACAGCGUCGUCGCUUCGGCGGCGGGCGAGGGGGAACUGCGCAUCACGCCGCUGCUCGGUUUCGGCGCGCGCGACA